rnacentral:rRNA from 1 species
GAUGAACGCUAGCGGCAGGCCUAACACAUGCAAGUCGAGGGGUAUAGGGAGCUUGCUUUCUAGAGACCGGCGGAUGGGUGAGUAACGCGUAUGCAACCUACCUUUUACAGGGGAAUAGCCCGGAGAAAUUCGGAUUAAUGCUCCAUGGUUUAUAUGAAUGGCAUCGUUUAUAUAAUAAAGAUUUAUCGGUAAAAGAUGGGCAUGCGUAUCAUUAGCUAGUUGGUGUGGUAACGGCAUACCAAGGCUACGAUGAUUAGGGGUCCUGAGAGGGGGAUCCCCCACACUGGUACUGAGACACGGACCAGACUCCUACGGGAGGCAGCAGUGAGGAAUAUUGGUCAAUGGAGGCAACUCUGAACCAGCCAUGCCGCGUGCAGGAUGACGGUCCUAUGGAUUGUAAACUGCUUUGACGGGAAGAAAUGUAAUUACGUGUAAUUAUUUGACGGUACCGUAAGAAUAGGAUCGGCUAACUCCGUGCCAGCCGCCGCCGUAAC